AGCCGUGCGUUGAGCACAUAGCGAACUAUUCUUUCGCCUUUUACUAAAAAAUAUUAUGUGCUCAUUGCUUAAAAGCGGCAUACGCCAAUUUUUGGAGGGAUCUUUCUUUAUUAGGAAGC